CCUGCCUUAUACUGGGGGAUAACAUACUGAAAAGUAUGCUAAUACCGCAUAAGACCACGAAGUCACAUGAUUUAGUGGUAAAAACUCCGGUGGUAUAAGAUGGACCCGCGUCUGAUUAGCUAGUAGGUGAGGUAAAUGCUCACCUAGGCGACGAUCAGUAGCCGACCUGAGAGGGUGACCGGCCACAUUGGGACUGAGACACGGCCCAAACUCCUACGGGAGGCAGCAGUGGGGAAUAUUGCACAAUGGAGGGAACUCUGAUGCAGCGACGCCGCGUGAAGGAAGAAGGUUUUCGGAUCGUAAACUUCUAUCAGCAGGGAAGAAAAUGACGGUACCUGACUAAGAAGCCCCGGCUAACUACGUGCCAGCAGCCGCGGUAAUACGUAGGGGGCAAGCGUUAUCCGGAAUUACUGGGUGUAAAGGGUGCGUAGGCGGUAAUGUAAGUCAGGUGUGAAAGCCCGAAGCUCAACUUCGGGAUUGCACUUGAAACUACAUAACUAAGUACAGGAGAGGUGAGUGGAAUUCCUAAUGUAGCGGUGAAAUGCGUAAAUAUUAGGAGGAACACCAGUGGCGAAGGCGACUCUCUG
rnacentral:rRNA from 1 species